rnacentral:rRNA from 1 species
GACGUAGGUGGCGAACGUUAUCCGGAAUUAUUGGGCGUAAAGGGUGCGUAGGCGGCGCGGUAAGUCGGGUGUGAAAUCUCGGGGCUUAACUCCGAAACUGCAUUCGAUACUGCCGUGCUUGAGGACUGGAGAGGAGACUGGAAUUUACGGUGUAGCGGUGAAAUGCGUAGAUAUCGUAAGGAAGACCAGUGGCGAAGGCGGGUCUCUGGACAGUUCCUGACGCUGAGGCACGAAGGCCAGGGGAGCAAACGGG